rnacentral:rRNA from 1 species
UACAGAGGGGGCAAGCGUUGUUCGGAAUUACUGGGCGUAAAGGGCGCGUAGGCGGCCCUCUAAGUCAGACGUGAAAUCCCUCGGCUCAACCGGGGAACUGCGUCUGAGACUGGAAGGCUUGAAUUCGGGAGAGGGAUGUGGAAUUCCAGGUGUAGCGGUGAAAUGCGUAGAUAUCUGGAGGAACACCGGUGGCGAAGGCGGCAUCCUGGACCGAGAUUGACGCUGAUGCGCGAAAGCUAGGGGAGCAAACGGG